CCUCCGCUCUUCCCUCUCUUCUCUCUCCUCUGCUCUUCUUUAUCUAUCUUUCUCUCUCCUUUGUUCUUCAAUUUCGCUCUUUUAUUCAAUUUAAUCUUGAAUUUUAACAUAAUUUUCUUGUUUUGAUUAAUAAUUCAUCUUCUACAACCAAUUUUGAGGAAACAAUUGGUAGAUAUGUCAGGCACCCAGGACAUUGCAGGAACUGGAGGUUAAAUAUAUCUGUGAAAAGAAAAAAGUGUGUUGUGCAAAAGAAACCUCUUAUAUAGAUUCUAUAAAAUUCUACGGCAAUGCCACUUAUGUAA